rnacentral:rRNA from 1 species
UCCUACGGGAGGCAGCAGUGGGGGAUAUUGCGCAAUGGGGGCAACCCUGACGCAGCAACGCCGCGUGAAGGAUGAAGGUUUUCGGAUUGUAAACUUCUUUUAUUAAGGACGAAAAAUGACGGUACUUAAUGAAUAAGCUCCGGCUAACUACGUGCCAGCAGCCGCGGUAAUACGUAGGGAGCAAGCGUUGUCCGGAUUUACUGGGUGUAAAGGGUGCGUAGGCGGCUUUGCAAGUCAGAUGUGAAAUCUAUGGGCUCAACCCAUAAACUGCAUUUGAAACUGUAGAGCUUGAGUGAAGUAGAGGCAGGCGGAAUUCCCCGUGUAGCGGUGAAAUGCGUAGAGAUGGGGAGGAACACCAGUGGCGAAGGCGGCCUGCUGGGCUUUAACUGACGCUGAGGCACGAAAGCGUGGGUAGCAAACAGGAUUAGAUACCCUGGUAGUCCACGCUGUAAACGAUGAUUACUAGGUGUGGGGGGUCUGACCCCUUCCGUGCCGGAGUUAACACAAUAAGUAAUCCACCA